UUGAUUGUGUUUACUCUGUGCAUCAACACUUCGCGAACACGAAACUCUUUCUUCUCCGGAGCAACGAUAAUGGCGACUAAUGUUCAAAACUCCAAUGUCCAAGAUCUCAACCACAUUCUCUAAGCGAGAAGGGCUCGUUGGCUCUCUGCUGCCGAGAUCGACACCCUACUUGCACGCAGCGAUGCACUGACAAUUACAUCCAACUUGCACAAGCCCAGUCUGAACCAGUCAGGGCUCUUUCUCUACAAUCACAGAGCAUUUACCGACGAUGACAAGACGUGGGAUCGUGUUAGGGGCAGCAGGUUCACCACUUGUGCAAAAAAGAUGAUUGAAGAUGAUACCAUAAACUACACCACGGCUUCAAAACCGCUUACCAACACGACUCGUUUCCAAAGAAGGACUUUCCGGUGUUCAAGUAGGUACCAGAACCUAGCAUUGGUCCAUUACCGAGUUGUUGUUCUUGCUCCCGUUCUAGUUCAAGCCGCUGUGGUGGUUUAGGAUGAGACCAUCGCCUCGCCAUCUUUCCAAACAUUUUUACACGUUCUGUCCAAUUUUAGACCAUCGCGAUUCGUUUAUUGAUUCCUGGUUUUGUCAUGUAAAUUGAGCUGAAGCUGUCAAACAAAUUAAACAUGUAAAUUUUUGUGUAUAUAUUUAACCGGGGGAAACCACAAAGUCAAGUUUGAGAUUCGUGUCGAUGAAUCCAAAUCAGCGACAAAACCUUGUUAGUAUCUUGCAAGUUUGCACAAGGAAUGGGCUUUCCAAUCAAGGGAGUCAAGUUCAUUGUUUUCUUCUCAAGUCCGGAUCGGGUUCUAAUUUGAUUAGAAGCAACUAUCUUAUCGAUAUGUACUGUAAAUGCAGAGAACCUUGAUUGCUUAUAAGGUGUUCGAUAGUAUGAGGAGCCUCAAACUACUCCUUUGAUUAGGAUGUAUUUGUUA